UGAAUUUGGCUGAAAGUUUCAAAACUAAGAGGGAAGACUUCUUGUCAUCCUGAGAUUUGUUCAUGUGGACAAGAAGUUCAGGUGUGUUUCUGAAGAUGCUGAAGAGCUGAAAUUACUUGUUUUAAUUUUUGGUUUACCAAAGGAAUGGGGAGAUGGUGAUGCCUGGUUUUGUUUUCCCUAAACACAUCACAGACUUAAAUAAACCAGAAACAUCCACAAAUGGACAGCUCUGGCUCUUGCAUCAUGACUAAAAGAAUUAAAGACUAGUUCUGCAGCUUUUAAAAUAAAAGCAAUUAUUCAAGAGCAGCCUGGAAGUCUUUCAUCCAACCAAGACUUGUUUUACGUGGUUCCAUACAAAGAUCAAACUCAUGGGAAAAUCCCACCCCAAUAACUGAGCUUAAGCAGGAAAAAGAAAUAAUAAAAUGCUGACCUUGAAGCAGCUUGUCCAGCUCUUUGGAGCCAGUGGUGAUCUGGAUGAGCUCUGACCAUUGCUGGUGGAAUUCUGUGGCCGUGGUGAAGCCCAUGGGAACAGUUUGGCUGCCUCAGCCUGAGGGAAAACUCAACUGAGCAGUGUCAGGAGAGCUCACGCCAUUCAUUAACCCCCAGUAAUUAAUAUUUCCUGCCUCGUGGAGAGGUGCCUGUAUUAUUCCAUGCAUAUUUCACAGACCUUGCAUGAGUUGAUACCUCUGCACAGAACUGAAAUUCUGUUCCAAUAAAAAUCUCCAACAUCCCUUUCGUGUGUUCUAUAGAAAUAUCCUUCUCUUCAGUUCAGUCUUGUCCUGGUGCAUUUUUCCCAUCACAAGUCAUGUCACAACUCCAAUCACCUUUACUGCCCUUUGGAGACCUUCCAAAUUCACCACAACAUUUUCAGCCAGCAGAGAUAAACCAGUGGAAUAUCUGGGGUUAAAGUUCCAGAACAUCCUUACUGGGAUUUUGUCAGCUUUGGUUUCACUUUUCACUGAUGCCUUUCAUGUUCAGCAGCUCCUUCACUGGUGCAUAAUCCAUGGCCUCCUGUCUGAAAUCCAGCUUCUUUGCAGCCUCUUUAAGCACAUGCAGCAGAGUGGGUGCCAUCAGCUGUUUUGGCCUGAUGCUUCCAGGGAGGGAGUGCUGGAAAUGAUGUGGAUCUCCCCAUCUCUCUGGCUGAUGACAUCCCCUCCCCUGUGCCAGCAUCCUUGCUUGAAAAGCUGUGCAGGUUUCAGAUCUGGGACUCGAUCCAUUGACUGAUAAACCCAGGAUAGUAAAUUAUUUGUCUUCAGCCAGGCUAGCUCCCUCAUUCCCCUGGUCCUAUCACAGCCUCAGAUCCCACAGAGCUACAGCAUGGUGGGCAUAAGCAGCCAGAGCAAAGGAAAGAAGCAAAGUGCCAUCACUUUUAAUGGUUUCCCAGCUGAAAGGCAUUUUUAUCUCGGCUGAGAAAACCACAUCCUUGCUAUUGCAUUCAUUCUGAAUAUCCUGAGUCCUGAAUCCUACUCCCACUUUCCAUGCAGUCCCAUCUGUCCUCUCCUACCCAGCUGUGCUAGACACAUCACUCUCCCCCAGGUCUGGAUCUUCUACCUCCUCACCUCAGACCUUCUGAUGAACAGUUCUCAGCCUUCCCCCAGUGAAUUGCUCCCUGAUGGUUGAUUACCACCAUGGCUGACGCAAUGAAUUGAAGCUGCACUGGCCAAGUCUUCUACCAAAACCAUCCUCAUGCUUUCAGAACAAAAGCAUAAUUGGUCCUACCACACCAAGCAAGAGGACAGUGUGAGCAAUUAAUGCCAAGAAGCAUAACAGGAGGGUAAGAUUUAAAAAACUGACCCAAACCCCAGGAUAUUGGGCUGAACACAGAUCUGCUGCAAAAACAGUUUUGUUUCCAUCAAAAUCCAGGGAUGACAUAUAUUGCUGAGAAGGGCAAAGAUGUAGCCCUAAACAGCACUUGGGAACUCCCUCCUGGAGGAAAAGGGGAGGCAGAACUAGGGGAAAAAUGAUUCUCAUACUUCAAGAAUUUUUUCUGGAUUCCUUGGGGUGUGUCAGGCUCACAGCAUGCCAACAGCUGGAAAGUGCACACUCUGAGUGCUCUCCUUUGCCAUAACCUCUCAUUGCUAUUUGGACAAAUAAAGGACCUUUGCUUCAUCUGACUUACUCUGUAGUGCGAUUGGAAUAUCCCUCUUGAAUUGUAAAGUCACUGCCCAGAGGGCUCUCAGCCUGGGAACAAAGGGUGUUGUCCACUAGAUCAAAACACUGGAAUUUCUUUUAGAGGAGUACCUUUAGGUCUUGAGAACAGGAAUGACUGAAGGAGGCAUUCACUCCUCUUCCUCUUUCUAUUCCAUUUCAGCCUUCAUUCAGAAUGAUGGCAAUGUGUCUACCUGACUUAGGGGCAGAGCCCAAGUCUGGAUACUCACAGAAAAUCCUCAAAUUGGCUGCCUGCUGGCACUGGAAAACUUGAGAUUUUUAUUAGUACACAUAGUCUCUAGCAGAAGCAGCAAAAACAAAUUUAAGAAACCCACAACCAAAACCACAUUUAGUUCAAGAACUAAACAGAUAAAUAAAGGGCAGAUUAAAUGUAAAAGAUGUGCCAGGUUGAAAUACCAGACAGAUCUAUGACCUUUGCACAUCAAAGACUGCAAUACCCUGAAAGGCAACAGCCACUCCAGUUCUAUUUAACCUUGGUAGUGAGGAGAGGAAUUCAGGUGUGAUUCAUGCAGGUGAGUUGAACCACAAACCAGGAGCUGUUCCACAUUUGGAAUAAAGUGAUUAGUAAAGACCCAACUGCUGAAGGAGGGGCACACAGACUCCACAGGGUUUUCAGAGGUGGGUGCUGGUUCUUUCUGAAGUUCACGAUCACUUGGACAGUGACAAGGGGCUGGGAGCACUGAACAGCUUCCUGACUGCAUUCUUGAAUCCUCCUAAAAAGACUUGUCUCCUCAGGUUUGCUCUAAUCUAUAGCCAGAGCACAGGAGGUA
rnacentral:lncRNA from 1 species